rfam:Flavobacterium sp. A45 NODE_2_length_182483_cov_13.2111_ID_3, whole genome shotgun sequence.
CUUUAGCCCCGGUAGCAGUGGAAAUCCUUUUGUGCCGGUGUUCGGUACAAAAGAUUGCAACGAAUUGCUUCGCCAGUU